rnacentral:rRNA from 1 species
CAGCAGCCACGGUAAAACGAGGGGGGCAAGCGUUGUUCGGAAUUAUUGGGCGUAAAGGGUGCGUAGGCGGUUUGAUAAGUCAUCUGUGAAAUCUCUGGGCUCAACCCAGAGUCUGCAGGCGAAACUGUCGGGCUUGAGUAUGGAAGAGGUAUGUGGAACUCCGAGUGUAGAGGUGAAAUUCGUAGAUAUUCGGAAGAACACCAGUGGCGAAGGCGACAUACUGGUCCAUUACUGACGCUGAGGCUCGAAAGCGUGGGGAGCAAACAGGAUUAGAUACCCCAGUAGUCCCUGUCUCUUAUAA